ensembl:rRNA 5S_rRNA 5S ribosomal RNA
UAUUACGGCCAUACCAAACUGACAACGCCUGAUCUCGUCUGAUCUCGGAAGCUAAGCAGAGUUGGGCUGGGUCAGUACUUGGUUGGGUGACAGCCUGGAAAUACAAGGUGCUGUAAGCA